rnacentral:rRNA from 1 species
AUUGAACGCUGGCGGCAGGCCUAACACAUGCAAGUCGAACGGUAACAGGAAGAAGCUUGCUUCUUUGCUGACGAGUGGCGGACGGGUGAGUAAUGUCUGGGAAACUGCCUGAUGGAGGGUGAUAACUACUGGAAACGGUAGCUAAUACCGCAUAAUGUCGCAAGACCAAAGAGGGGGACCUUCGGGCCUCUUGCCAUCGGAUGUGCCCAGAUGGGAUUAGCUAGUAGGUGGGGUAACGGCUCACCUAGGCGACGAUCCCUAGCUGGUCUGAGAGGAUGACCAGCCACACUGGAACUGAGACACGGUCCAGACUCCUACGGGAGGCAGCAGUGGGGAAUAUUGCACAAUGGGCGCAAGCCUGAUGCAGCUAUGCCGCGUGUAUGAAGAAGGCCUUCGGGUUGUAAAGUACUUUCAGCGGGGAGGAAGGGAGUAAAGUUAAUACCUUUGCUCAUUGACGUUACCCGCAGAAGAAGCACCGGCUAACUCCGUG